rnacentral:rRNA from 1 species
GAGAUGUGGGUAGUCCGUACGAGCGCACCUUGUCCUUAGUUGCCAGCACAUAAUGGUGGGAACUCUAAGGAGACUGCCGGUGACAAACCGGAGGAAGGUGGGGACGACGUCAAGUCAUCAUGGCCCUUACGACCUGGGCUACACACGUGCUACAAUGGAACGCACAGAGGGCUGCAAAGGCGCGAGCUGGAGCGAAUCCCACAAAACGUUUCGUAGUCCGGAUUGGAGUCUGCAACUCGACUCCAUGAAGUCGGAAUCGCUAGUAAUCGUGAAUCAGAAUGUCGCGGUGAAUACGUUCCCGGGCCUUGUACACACCGCCCGUCACACCAUGGGAGUGGGUUGCAAAAGAAGUGGGUAGACUAACCUUCGGGAGGUCGCUCACCACUUUGUGAUUCAUGACUGGGGUGAAGUCGUAACAAGGUAGCCCUAGGGGAACCUGGGGCUGGAUCACCUCCUU